rnacentral:misc_RNA from 1 species
AAAUAUGUCACUCUAACCACCUCUUCAUUGUAAUUUCCAGAGACAGCAUUGAAGCUUGAUACUUUGGUUGGUGACAUUGAAGAUGCUGUCUCGUCCACGGUGAAGAGAACUUUAAGGAGAGAACCAUCAACAAAAAGUUCAGAAGAGAUGCGGAGUGUUGCCAUUAGAACACUGAAGUUAACUGAAGAGACACUAAGAUUAGUAGCAAAA